CAGCCGCCGCGGGAAUACGUAGGGUGCAAGCGUUAAUCGGAAUUACUGGGCGUAAAGCGUGCGCAGGCGGUUAUAUAAGACAGAUGUGAAAUCCCCGGGCUCAACCUGGGAACUGCAUUUGUGACUGUAUAGCUAGAGUACGGCAGAGGGGGAUGGAAUUCCGCGUGUAGCAGUGAAAUGCGUAGAUAUGCGGAGGAACACCGAUGGCGAAGGCAAUCCCCUGGGCCUGUACUGACGCUCAUGCACGAAAGCGUGGGGAGCAAACAGGAUUAGAGACCCCCGUAGUCCCUGUCUCUUAUAC
rnacentral:rRNA from 1 species